AUGGCGCGCCUGCUCCUCGUCCUCGUCCUAGCGGUGGCCGCUGCCGUCGCCCAACCGCUGCUCGCGUGCGCUUCUGUGGCUCCCUCGCCGUCAUCCUUGUACCGCUGCGGCUGGUGCUCGCGCCGCUCCACCGCCUCCAUCCUCCCUCCGGACGCCGGCGCCCUCACAGGCGCCGCGUGCGGAUACGGUGAUCCGGCGGAGCUCGCGGCCGACGGGGGAUUCCACAUUGCGGCCGUCGGUGCUGGAUUUUUCCGCGGCGGCCAGGCCUGCGGCGCCUGCUACCAGCUGAGGUGCAGGGACCGGAGCGCGUGCUCGGAAGGCGGCGUCAAGGUCAUCGUCGUUGCCGACGUGCCGAAGGUGAACAGAACAGCAGGCGUCGUCGGUGGCGGGAAGUUCCUGCUCAGCAAGGACGCCUUCGCCGCCUUGACUACUGCUGGUCACAGUGGCCAGCUUGCGAGCUUAGUGGACACGGCCGUCGACGUCGACUUCAGGAGGAUACCAUGCAUGUACAACAGCAAGAACCUAGCGGUGAGGGUGGAGGAGACGAGCAACAGGGACAAGGGCCACCUCGCCCUCUGCUUCCUCUACCAGGGCGGCCAGACCGACAUCGUCGCCGUCGAGGUCGCGCAGGCGGUUCUUCGUGCUGCCCAGAGCGCCGCCGCACCGUCGCCGACGCAAUGGCAGUACAUGACGCGGCGCGAGCAGUCUCCCGGGGUGUGGCGCACGUCGCGCGCGCCGGCCGGCCCGCUGCAGCUCCGGCUCGUGGUCACCGCGGGUUCCGGCGGCAAGUGGCUGCGCGCUGACGGGGCGGUGUUCCCCGCGGAGUGGCAGGCCGGCGCGGUCUACGACACUGGGCUGCGCGUCACCGACGUCGCCGCGCGCACAUGCAGCUGCGCCUCUGCCUCCGGGGACGACGACGAAGAGGAGUAG
rnacentral:rRNA from 1 species